GACGAACGCUGGCGGCGUGCCUAAUACAUGCAAGUAGAACGCUGAAGAGAGGAGCUUGCUCUUCUUGGAUGAGUUGCGAACGGGUGAGUAACGCGUAGGUAACCUGCCUUGUAGCGGGGGAUAACUAUUGGAAACGAUAGCUAAUACCGCAUAACAAUGGAUGACACAUGUCAUUUAUUUGAAAGGGGCAAUUGCUCCACUACAAGAUGGACCUGCGUUGUAUUAGCUAGUAGGUGAGGUAAUGGCUCACCUAGGCGACGAUACAUAGCCGACCUGAGAGGGUGAUCGGCCACACUGGGACUGAGACACGGCCCAGACUCCUACGGGAGGCAGCAGUAGGGAAUCUUCGGCAAUGGGGGCAACGCUGACCGAGCAACGCCGCGUGAGUGAAGAAGGUUUUCGGAUCGUAAAGCUCUGUUGUAAGUCAAGAACGGGUGUGAGAGUGGAAAGUUCACACUGUGACGGUAGCUUACCAGAAAGGGACGGCUAACUACGUG
rnacentral:rRNA from 1 species